AACAUAGAACUAGCGUCCCCCACAGGUGACAGAGAACUAGCGUCCCCCACAGGUGACAGAGAACUAGCGUCCCUCACAGGUGACAGAGAACUAGCGUCCCUCACAGGUGACAGAGAACUAGCGUCCCUCACAGGUGACA